rnacentral:lncRNA from 1 species
UUUAAAAUAUUGAACCAAUAAUUAUCUUAAAUAUUAAAUGUGAUAUUAAAAAUUCUCUGAACCAAGUUAAGUGGCUGAAAAUAUGAAAUGAAAUAUUUGCUGAUUAAGGGGAGAUAAAUCCUAAUGAUUUUUAGUGCAAUUAAAAAAAAAAUGUACAGAUUUAUGAUAUGAGUUUGUGUAUUUGUAUAUUAAAAUGAAAUUUGUACAUAUACAGUUGACUAUGCAAAUGCUUAAUUAUUUAUACAUACAUGUAGCUUUUAUUUUGUAAUCUUUGUUUUGUAAUUGUAUCAAACUUUCAAGUAUUAAAAAUUAUAGAAUUAAAAAAAGUCUGCACUUCGAAAAAUAAUCUUGAUUUUUCAUUUUUUUUUUUAUCAAAAAUAAAAAUACAAAGAUCUUGUGUUAUGGAAAUAAAUAGUAUGUACAUUUUUUGUCAAGCAUCCAGUUCCUUCUUAAGUUGAUAUUUUCAGAUUUUCUUCAUGUUUGAAUUUUAAGAAAAUACAGUAAAAAGGGGCAUAAGACACUUGAAAAAUUAAUAUCAUUCAGUACUUCAAGUACUUUUGUUUAACAGAUAGAAAGUAUGCUUUAAGAAAUCAAAGAAAUUCCUCAGGUUUUUCUAUUUUUAAUAAUUUUGCACAUAAAAAUAUAAACGUUCUUACUAUUUGAUCAACAAGUCAGGCAGAGUUGACUAAAUAGAU